rnacentral:rRNA from 1 species
AUCAAAAACAUGUCUUUUUGAAAAUAAUUUAAAGUCUAAUCUGCCCACUGAUAAAUAUAUUAAAGGGCUGCAGUAUAUUGACUGUACAAAGGUAGCAUAAUCAAUAGUCUUUUAAUUGAAGACUUGUAUGAAAGAUUUGAUGAGAUAUAAACUGUCUCUAAUUUAUAAAUAAAAUUUAAUUUUUUAGUUAAAAAGCUAAAAUAAAUUUAAAAGACGAGAAGACCCUAUAGAGUUUUAUAUUAUUUUUAUUUAAGAUUAUAUUUAUAAAUAAAAAUUAAAAGUAAAAAUAAUAUUUUAUUGGGGUGAUAGAAAAAUUUAUUUAACUUUUUUUAAAAUUAAUUACAUAAAUAAAUGAGUAGUUGAUCCAUUAAUAAUGAUUAAAAGAAAAAAUUACCUUAGGGAUAACAGCGUAAUAUUUUUUUCUAGUACGAAUAGAAAAAAAAGUUUGCGACCUCGAUGUUGGAUUAAGAUAAAAUUUGAAUGUAAAAGUUUAAAAUUUUGAUCUGUUCGAUCAUUAAAAUCUUACAUGAUCUGAGCUCAAACCGG